GACACCACCCUCUUGCCCCCCACUUCCAGGAUGCUGGUCCCCCACAUCCCCUGAACCAGUUUGGCAGAAGAUCCUCUGCUGCCUCCCUGUUGUUCCUUGGGCUCCGGCAGGUUUAUUUGAAUAAGCCCUGUGAUUUCACUAGCACUGAGAGCCCUCUCUGCCAGUACAAGGGGCCCCCUUUCCUGCUGUUUCUAGCCUUACCCCUUGGCCUGGGGCACACAGCCAGGAUGUCUCAUGGGUAAUAUUUGAAGCCACAGCUUUCUGACCCUAAGACUGGCUCCCUAGCCACUCUGCUACCCUGCCUCACCAUCUGGGGCAGCAGCUCCAACAUGCCCACAGCAAAGCCCCGGGCAGCCAGAUUGCUUCCCCAGUCCUUGGGAAUUUGCCUCAUUCUGGUCACUGGGAGCGGGAUGUGGGUGCUGCCCUUGCGCUCCACCUCCUACUCUGGGCUCAGUCGGCAGUGUUACUGCGCUGCCGUUGCCAGUCACUCAGUCGAGCCACAAGCAUUUCGUAAAUGUCUACUGUGUGUCAGGCCCUGUGCUGAACUCUGGGAUGCAAGGCAUGGCCAAAACAGGGCCUGCCCACAAGGAGUUCCUAGUCUAAUGAGGGAAACACCAUGUAAAUAACCAGGUACCUACAAGACAUAUGCCCAGCAGAGAGGAGAGAAUUUCAGAUAGCAGGGGCAAGCAGACCCUUUUCCAAUCCCUCCUUCCUUCCUUCCUUCCUUCCUUCUCCCUCCUCCCCUAUCCAAUUUGUGGGCACCACACAGCCUGCCUCAGUGUCCAGUCCACUGAGCACCAUUGGCCUGCUAAGGAAAGCCUUUGUCCCUGACUCAGAACUGACUUAGUGGGGUCUUAAUUAACAGUUAGUUCAUGAAGAAGUCUUUUGUCCCCACACCUUCUUUUUUUCCCCCCACACCUUUAUUAUGCAGAGGGCUUGCUGAGCCUGAAAGCUUUAGAGCUGUGUGUGAUUUCUAGGUCUCAGCUGAUAUGGACACUGACUUGACCUAGCCCAACUCUCUCCUUUUGGAGGUGACCUGCAGAGAAGGGAAAGGACUUGGCCAAGGUCACACAGCCUGCUAAAUUCCAGUCCUGGACUCAGACCGGCUAGUAGUGAACACUUUGGAUUUCUCUACCCCGAGCCUCCAGAGAGCCCCUGUCUACUUGGGUCCAAGUCAACAGGCAUCAUCAACUAAAGUACCCGGGCACAGGCCUGCCGGCAAGCCCCUCACCUUGUUCACAUCCUGCAUGUAGAGCCAGCCACAGAAGGGCUGAUGGGGCAGGUCCAGGACAGACAGUCUCAGGUCGACCACCCCGGUCAUGACGUUGCGAUCGUCGUCAUCGAUGCCGUAGACGCAGAAGCGCAAGCUGCUUUCCUCUAGGGCAGAGGCGUUCAAGGUGAUGUUAAACCUCUCGUCAAAGAAAAUGGAGUACGCAGUCCGCUGGAUCUGCAGAGCAGCAGGAAGAAAGCAAGCAGGAGUCAGCACUGGCGAGGCUGCCAGGGUCAGAGCCUCUUUCUGCGGAAUGGAACUCGAUGAGUGAACAUGAAGCAGCUCUCUCCUUUCCCUGCCCUUCUCCAUGAAAGCCACUGCCUAGAGUCACAAGCCACCAUGACCCAGAGCAAGCAGCAGAAGAGGACACUUUCCAUGGACACUCCCUGGGGCUGCCAGCCACCCUUCCCUGCUCAGACUUGCCAAGCCUAGUGCCUGCUCCCUUCUGGGGGGCUUCCCCUGGGCUUGCUCCAGGUCACGGAGCUACAGAAGCUGUCUUUUGAACUGGUACCAAACUGAGCUCAAGGAGAGAAGUGCCCGGGCACGAAAGGGUCAAGGGAGGUCUGGUCCUUCCUGCUAGCCUGCAGGGACUCUGUGGAACCAGGCUGGGGGGGACUAGGAAGAAGCAUCAGCUCAGCCCCCUGAAGUCCUGCCCCUAGGGAAACCCAGGUGUGGACGGCCUGCCUGUGGCCGUGAGCCCAAGAGGAGGGAGAUGGGUCAGGACCCCCCCUAGGCAAAAUGGCAGCUGCAGUGGAAUGUCUUCCCUGCCCCCAGCUCCCCAAACCCAUUCCUUGGGGUGCCUGUCCUCAUCUUCUACACCCAGGCAAGCUUCAUUUCCCAUUCAGGGUCUUGCCUUCUUCCUCUAGAGAAGAAGGGGGUCAGAUCCAGUGACCUGCUGCGCACCCUUUCCAUCCUGACACUCCCAGGUGCCUCCCAGCUCUUAAUAGCCUGCGCAGUCUUGGGUUGUAAGAUCCCCUCCAGGUUCUGACAUUAUGUGUGCUAAGAUCCAUCCCAGCUCUGACGUUCUGUUCAAAGGCCUCUCUCAGCUCUGACAUUUUUCUCCUAGACCUGACAUUCUGUGUUCUAAGGUGACAUUCCCUGCUCUGAAGUCCUUCUCAUCCUUGAUAUUAGGUUCUAAGGUCCCUCCCAGUUCCAACAUUCUAUGUGCUAAGGCAACACUAUAUGUUCUAAGGUCUCUCCCACCCUUGACAUUCUGUAUUCUAAAGUCCCUCCCAGACCUGAUAUUCUGUGUUCUAUGGUCCAUCCCAAUCCUGAUAGUAUGUGUUCUAAGAGCCCUCAAAAUCCUAACAUUCUAUGUUCUAAGGUCCCCCCCUGCCCUGACAUUCUGUGUUCUGAGAUGACAUUCUCUGUUCUAAGGGCCCUCCCAGUCCUGACAUUCAAUACUCUUAGAUGACAUUUUGUGUUUGAAGGCCCUUCCCCACCCUGACAUUCUGUGUUCUAAGAUGACAUUCUCCAUUCUAUGUUAUAAAGUGACAUUCUGUGUUGUAAGGGCCCUCCCACCUUUACCACCCUGUACUGAAAGGUUCUUAGGUCCCUCUCCACCCUGACAUGCUUUGUUCUGAGGGCCCUCCCACCCCUAACCCUCUAUGUCCCAAAGUGUAUUCAAAGAUGCAGGCAUCCAUCCACUGAUGCUUCCUGGACCCCAGGGCCCCCUGCCCAGAGCUGACAUUUCUGUGGCACUUUCAGGUGGGCAAGAGGCCCUUUCACUGGCUCCUCAUCAGCCCUGUGAGGGGCCACUCCUCCAAAGGAUAUGUCCCAGUGUGUGUGUUCUCUCCAGUGAUGCAGAUUGUAAUCCAUCCAUGCGCAUCCACCCUGGGUACCCAUCAACCAUAUGAGGUAGGUUGUACAAGUAUUGUGAUUGUUCCCACGUUACUAAUGAGGACACAGGCUCAGAGUAGAUACAGCCAUGGUCACUGCUACGUUUAUGUCCUUGGACUCAAGUCCAGGGUUCUUCCUGCUGCCCCAUACCAGCCUCCCCAGCAGCCCCAGAAGAC